rnacentral:rRNA from 1 species
CUGGGAGGACCAUCUCCUAAGGCUAAAUACUCUCUAGUGACCGAUAGUGAACCAGUACCGUGAGGGAAAGGUGAAAAGCACCCCGGAAGGGGAGUGAAAUAGAACCUGAAACCGUGUGCUUACAAGUAGUCAGAGCCCGUUAAUGGGUGAUGGCGUGCCUUUUGUAGAAUGAACCGGCGAGUUACGAUUUGAUGCAAGGUUAAGCAGUAAAUGUGGAGCCGUAGCGAAAGCGAGUCUGAAUAGGGCGUUUAGUAUUUGGUCGUAGACCCGAAACCAGGUGAUCUACCCUUGGUCAGGUUGAAGUUCAGGUAACACUGAAUGGAGGACCGAACCGACUUACGUUGAAAAGUGAGCGGAUGAACUGAGGGUAGCGGAGAAAUUCCAAUCGAACCUGGAGAUAGCUGGUUCUCUCCGAAAUAGCUUUAGGGCUAGCCUCAAGUGAUGAUUAUUGGAGGUAGAGCACUGUUUGGACGAGGGGCCCCUCUCGGGUUACCGAAUUCAGACAAACUCCGAAUGCCAAUUAAUUUAACUUGGGAGUCAGAACAUGGGUGAUAAGGUCCGUGUUCGAAAGGGAAACAGCCCAGACCACCAGCUAAGGUCCCAAAAUAUAUGUUAAGUGGAAAAGGAUGUGGCGUUGCCCAGACAACUAGGAUGUUGGCUUAGAAGCAGCCAUCAUUUAAAGAGUGCGUAAUAGCUCACUAGUCGAGUGACACUGCGCCGAAAAUGUACCGGGGCUAAACAUAUUACCGAAGCUGUGGAUUGUCCUUUGGACAAUGGUAGGAGAGCGUUCUAAGGGCGUUGAAGCAUGAUCGUAAGGACAUGUGGAGCGCUUAGAAGUGAGAAUGCCGGUGUGAGUAGCGAAAGACGGGUGAGAAUCCCGUCCACCGAUUGACUAAGGUUUCCAGAGGAAGGCUCGUCCGCUCUGGGUUAGUCGGGUCCUAAGCUGAGGCCGACAGGCGUAGGCGAUGGAUAACAGGUUGAUAUUCCUGUACCACCUAUAAUCGUUUUAAUCGAUGGGGGGACGCAGUAGGAUAGGCGAAGCGUGCGAUUGGAUUGCACGUCUAAGCAGUAAGGCUGAGUAUUAGGCAAAUCCGGUACUCGUUAAGGCUGAGCUGUGAUGGGGAGAAGACAUUGUGUCUUCGAGUCGUUGAUUUCACACUGCCGAGAAAAGCCUCUAGAUAGAAAAUAGGUGCCCGUACCGCAAACCGACACAGGUAGUCAAGAUGAGAAUUCUAAGGUGAGCGAGCGAACUCUCGUUAAGGAACUCGGCAAAAUGACCCCGUAACUUCGGGAGAAGGGGUGCUCUUUAGGGUUAACGCCCAGAAGAGCCGCAGUGAAUAGGCCCAAGCGACUGUUUAUCAAAAACACAGGUCUCUGCUAAACCGUAAGGUGAUGUAUAGGGGCUGACGCCUGCCCGGUGCUGGAAGGUUAAGAGGAGUGGUUAGCUUCUGCGAAGCUACGAAUCGAAGCCCCAGUAAACGGCGGCCGUAACUAUAACGGUCCUAAGGUAGCGAAAUUCCUUGUCGGGUAAGUUCCGACCCGCACGAAAGGCGUAACGAUUUGGGCACUGUCUCAACGAGAGACUCGGUGAAAUCAUAGUACCUGUGAAGAUGCAGGUUACCCGCGACAGGACGGAAAGACCCCGUGGAGCUUUACUGUAGCCUGAUAUUGAAAUUCGGCACAGCUUGUACAGGAUAGGUAGGAGCCUUUGAAACGUGAGCGCUAGCUUACGUGGAGGCGCUGGUGGGAUACUACCCUAGCUGUGUUGGCUUUCUAACCCGCACCACUUAUCGUGGUGGGAGACAGUGUCAGGCGGGCAGUUUGACUGGGGCGGUCGCCUCCUAAAAGGUAACGGAGGCGCUCAAAGGUUCCCUCAGAAUGGUUGGAAAUCAUUCAUAGAGUGUAAAGGCAUAAGGGAGCUUGACUGCGAGACCUACAAGUCGAGCAGGGUCGAAAGACGGACUUAGUGAU